GCAUGUUGAAAUGUGCACUCGAAUGAAUGUAUUACAUAUCUGAGAAGAAAAUAUUUCUCAAUGUAAUUUUUUUUUACGAAAAAAAUAAACAAACAUUGUUGCGAUUGCCAUAAUUAAAAUAAAAUAUCUUUUUUUUUUUAUUUUUACCCAAUGUUUUUUUACUCAAUUUGAUAGAAUAUGAACGGAACACCUUAUAUAUUUACUUGUGCGUAUAUACGUUCAUAUAUAUACACGUAUAUGUAUAUAUACAGUCAUUCCCGUUAGCUUUAUCGAGUACAACGAUUAAAUAUUUGCGUUUACUCGGUCUCCCGGUUUUCCGUCCGACCUUCUCCUUCUCUUCACGAGCACGACUCGUAAAUCAAAGCUGCGAAUACUCGACGAGCCACUUGAUCUGUUUCAUUAGAAUACGUCUUUUGCGUGCGUCUCGAUGGUCCUGACCUACAUUUCUCUUUCAACAUCAUCAAUCUUUAAAGAAUCGAUUACACGCUCGAAAAACGACGUUCGCAUUUCACGAACGCAAAACUCAACCGUUCGUUGAAAUUCUCUUCGUCGAAACGGAGCACAGGCACUAAUCGCAAACGGAGAUACGGGGAAGCGUGCUCACGAUCGUGAAAAUUGUAGGACAGUUACAAGUUUAAGGCCGGCUAAACUCGUUCCUGAUAAGCGUUCAGCGUGGAGGGAACGGUUGCCCAUGGUUAAUACGUAUAGCGCGAUGCCGUUAUGUUAAUCUUAUGCUACGACCUAACUGUACCGUCCAGCCAUUCUCCAGAAGACACCGUUUUUUUUAUGUAUGCACAUAUGCGCACGUACAUGAGAAUAAUA